GAUGAACGCUGGCGGCGUGCCUAAUACAUGCAAGUCGAGCGAACGGACGAGAAGCUUGCUUCUCUGAUGUUAGCGGCGGACGGGUGAGUAACACGUGGAUAACCUACCUAUAAGACUGGGAUAACUUCGGGAAACCGGAGCUAAUACCGGAUAAUAUUUUGAACCGCAUGGUUCAAAAGUGAAAGACGGUCUUGCUGUCACUUAUAGAUGGAUACGCGCUGCAUUAGCUAGUUGGUAAGGUAACGGCUUACCAAGGCAACGAUGCAUAGCCGACCUGAGAGGGUGAUCGGCCGCACUGGAACUGAGACACGGUCCAGACUCCUACGGGAGGCAGCAGUAGGGAAUCUUCCGCAAUGGGCGAAAGCCUGACGGAGCAACGCCGCGUGAGUGAUGAAGGUCUUCGGAUCGUAAAACUCUGUUAUUAGGGAAGAACAUAUGUGUAAGUAACUGUGCACAUCUUGACGGUACCUAAUCAGAAAGCCACGGCUAACUACGUG
rnacentral:rRNA from 1 species